UACGUAGGGGGGCUAGCGUUGUCCGGAAUCAUUGGGCGUAAAGCGCGUGUAGGCGGUCCGGUAAGUCCGCUGUGAAAGUCGGGGGCUCAACCCUCGAAUGCCGGUGGAUACUGUCGGGCUAGAGUGCGGAAGAGGCGAGUGGAAUUCCUGGUGUGAGCGGUGAAAUGCGCAGAUAUCAGGAGGAACACCAAUUGCGAAGGCAGCUCGCUGGGACGUAACUGACGCUGAGACGCGAAAAGCGUGGGGGAGCGAACAGG
rnacentral:rRNA from 1 species